GCACUCUGCAGGCCCACACUGCAGAUUUUGGACUUACUGGCUUCCAUAAUCAUGUUCUCCCGUUUCCAAAUCCAAAUAUCCAAACACCAAGGUGCUAUGGAGGAUGAGCUUCACUUGACAGCCUGUCAUUUCAGUGCGAUGUGGAAGUUUGAAGCCAGAUUGUUCAAGUCUCAAGUUAUUGAGGAGCAUCUGGCACUCCAGAUUAGAAGAGGAUGCUGGGAGAGACUCAGAGGUGAGAUGUAACAUGUGGAAAGUGGACGGAGAGUCUGGAUGUUUAGCAAUUUCGAAGCCUGAACACCCUGGAACUUCAGACCUCUUUCCAAGACGACAGCAAGAACGGUCUAGUGGGAAAAUGGUAUUAACAUUAAGAGAUCCAUUCUUGGAUUUGUGUAUUCCACUGGGUUUCUCUGUCCUUGUGCUCCCAGUUGUGACAGGACAUGGGACCAUUAACAAGAAAACAGAGUAGAAAUUAAGGACAGGAUUUAUAUGUCAAGGACUUAUUCUUGCUUAAUCCAUUGAAAAUAAACUUCUCUGAAAAUACCAUAUUUGAGAUUAUCUUUUUCUCGGAUAAUAAUAUACUACCCAUAUAUUCAAAAUCUCUAAUUGUACUCCCUCUUCCAAAAUAGACUGUCUAGAAAAUCCCUAUAAAGGAAGUCUAAUAAAUGUGAUAAU